CCUAAUAAAACGCGUAGUUAUCGAUCGCCAGUUUGAUUGGGGAUUUUCCUUUCGACGUCAUAUUUAUCACAAUACAAAUAUCCGGGUACAUUUUAUUUGAUAUUAUGUCGUAGUUUCCUAAAACAGCUAGGAUCGGCAUAGAUAGACAAUAAUAUACUCAACACACAAAUAGUCUAACAGUUAUUUUAUAACACACUACAUGAAGGAGAGGAAGUGGCAAAAUGGAAAAUAUGUUGUAUGUAGUAUGUUCUGUUAUAUUACUGGUCUAUAUCUCAGGAUGUGAAGGUAGUUUUUGUAAGAAACGGAAUCCUGCCAGUGUAUUUGGAGAAGAUACAGAAAUAUGUACCGUGGGUUGUUGUGGACCUAGUGGAGAUCAGUACUGCUGUAUCAGUAAUGGAUUGUUCAUAGGACUUAUGUUUUUGAGUUUCAUCGCAGUAUUUGUUAUUCUGGUGUGCACUGGCGUUUGUUAUAGGAAAUAUCGACAACGAACUUUUGGCGCUGAUGUGAAUAGGACACCGUAUGGAUAUCAAGCAGGAAUGCAACCAACUGUCACGUAUAUGAAUAAUCCAGCGGGAACAGGGUAUCCUAAUACUGCACCUCCGCCUUACUCUCAUGGUCCUGGAUAUCAGAACAGUCCUGUAAUCACCAAUGGGUCCGGAUACACUGCCAGUCCCGCCGGGUCUGGAUUCACUGGCGGCCCUGUAAUCUCCCACGGUCCUGGAUUCGCCGGCGGUCAUGUAACCUCCCAUGGGCCUGACUACUCUCACAGUGGCUUUCAUACUUCGGAUUAUGAUGGAGGUUUUUCUAGCAAGUCUCACGACAAUCACUCAGAUACGCACAAUACAGAUUUUGGUGGAACAUGUGGCGGGUUUUCUGGUACGUCAGAUUCCCAUGGAACAUCAUGUAAUAACUCUAGUGAUCCUUUUUGAGUGAUUUGUGAAGAAUAACUGUAAAUAUAAAGUAUAUAACACUUUGAAUUAUGAUAUCAAUUGGGCGAUACUGUAUUCUGUGUUCAGGCAGCUUAGUCUCCAACUGUUUCAGAGUUUAAUAUAAUAUGGAGCUGAGUUAUAAAACUAGACUUGGUUUAAUGGACAUUAUGGGGAAAACACAGACUAAAAAACAACAGUGCACAAUAGAAAUGCCUAAAGCAGGUGGCAGCUGAUGAAACUGAAUGUUUGAUCAUUCCUGUACUCUUGCUCAAUUUAUGUAUAUGGAGACGGUGGUUAUGGAUUAAACAGGCAUUGUGCAAGAGCUAAUCUGCUGGUCUAGACAUAAUUUAUUACCAUGACAUGACCAUAAUCAACUCUCGAUGCCAUGGGUAAUUUGAAUGAAUAUAUUCAUUUUGCAUUAUCUAUGUUUGAACUAUUAUAGCACGGACGAUUCACUCUUUAUCUAAAUCUUACAUAAUGCUUCUUAGAGAGAUUACAAAUCGAAAUGCACUCAAAUGUGGUUGUAUUUUGCCGUCGCCAGUAUCCACUGAACGCUCUAUGGAUAUUUAUUAUUUGGUCCUUUGAGAGUUUACAUUAGUGGGACGAAGAAACCUAUUCAUAAUACUUUCAACAAUUUCCGCUAAUUACUCCGACAUGCGUGAAUAUGUAUUGUUCAGAUUAGUGAAAUAAGGGAGCCCCUGUGAUUACUUCUAAAGGAAAUGAAAUGUGGUUUAACAUCCUACGUAUUCGCCAUACAGUGUGCUAUUAGGGAAACACUUAUAUCGGAUUCCAUCUGCCAAGGGAUCUUUUACGUGCACGCCAGUGUAUACAUGUGAUCUCUGUUUUGGUCCCAUUCAAACGUCUAUACGUUGUCCCUUGCCAGGUCUGUUGUGCUGUACCACUGACAUGGAGGAACCACGCCAGAUAAUCCAGAUGAACUUUGUCGACCAACGCAGGAAUCGAACACAGGACCUCUAGGUUAGCAAGCCAAUGUCUUACUCACUGCGCCACCGUGGCUCCAACUUCUAAAGGAAUGAACCUUCCCGUAAUCCCUGUGUAGAGUUUUGUGAAUGCAUUAACGACAAAAUUCAUCAACUUUAAAUGGAACCUACGUUCUUUCUUUCGAUUGUUCCCAAUGAGUAAAAAUUUUAUUUUCAGAUGAUUACUUAUUGUGUUGAUACCCUGCUCCCUCCUGUAAAAUACUGGUCACCACUGAGCUGUAUUUUGGACUUUACUUGUCGGAAGCUUUCUCAGGGGCGGAUCCAGGAAUUUUUGCAGGAGGGGGUUUGCGUAUAUACAUACACAUUGAGCUUUUUAAACAGAGAAAUUCAACACCUCGUUUGAUGUCAAUUUUUAUUAUGAAUUAAUACAAUGACUUUGUCAUUCAAUUUCAUGGAUGCAAAGCAUUAAUUGUGAUAUGACAUAAUGUCUAUAUCAUUAUCUCGUGCUUUGAGUGCCCAUGCUGUCCCACAUCUGACGAUAAAGGAUUAAGAACACGGCCGAGAAACUUUUCUCAUAAAAAGUACUGAUUUACCAAAAAAUUUAUGUAGCUGAGCGGGGGGGGGGGGGGGCCACCCCCUGGAUCCGCCCCUGAUUUCUUUAUUUAUAGGUUGUGAAUGUAUUAAAUAUGUGCAUCAAUCUGAUUAAAAUACAGAUCUAUAUUUCGUUUCGAAUUUUUAUACUUUCGAUGGCCUCUACUACAUCAGUUGUAGUGGGAGGUCGCGUCAGAGGUCAUACGAGUGGCUUUUGACCCUAUGACGUCAGAUAUUUGAUUAAUCAAUCAGCGUUGAUGUUUCUAGUGGGUUAGCCACAGUUCCGUACACCUCACGCCAAAAACUCACCAUAACAGACCGUUUCAUUGGCUAAUCCCACACAUCAUCUAGAAUGUGGGUUAUAUAACAACGAAAUCCUAGUAUAGUAAAGACAAGUAAAACGAAAUUUUGAACUAUAAAAAACGAAACGAAAUAGGAUCUGUGUUUUAAUCAGAUUGACUGUGCAUUAUAUUGAUUCUGAUACAUAAGCGGCCCAGUUAUAUUUAUUUAUUGUUGUUGUUUAUUCUGUUGGCGAUGUAGAUAUAUUGAUUUUCUUGACUGAGUAAUUGCAUUGAACUUUUUGUUUUGUAUACUUUUAAUAAAAAAAAAACCCAGUAAGAUUGCAA